GUCGAGCGGCAGCGGGUCCUUCGGGAUGCCGGCGAGCGGCGGACGGGUGAGUAAUGCCUAGGAAUCUGCCUGGUAGUGGGGGAUAACGCGGGGAAACUCGCGCUAAUACCGCAUACGUCCUACGGGAGAAAGUGGGGGACCUUCGGGCCUCACGCUAUCAGAUGAGCCUAGGUCGGAUUAGCUAGUUGGUAGGGUAAAGGCCUACCAAGGCGACGAUCCGUAACUGGUCUGAGAGGAUGAUCAGUCACACUGGAACUGAGACACGGUCCAGACUCCUACGGGAGGCAGCAGUGGGGAAUAUUGGACAAUGGGCGAAAGCCUGAUCCAGCCAUGCCGCGUGUGUGAAGAAGGUCUUCGGAUUGUAAAGCACUUUAAGUUGGGAGGAAGGGCAGUAAGUUAAUACCUUGCUGUUUUGACGUUACCGACAGAAUAAGCACCGGCUAACUCUGUGCCAGCAGCCGCGGUAAUACAGAGGGUGCAAGCGUUAAUCGGAAUUACUGGGCGUAAAGCGCGCGUAGGUGGUUCAGCAAGUUGGAUGUGAAAUCCCCGGGCUCAACCUGGGAACU
rnacentral:rRNA from 1 species